rnacentral:rRNA from 1 species
AAUUUACUUUAUUAUCCGCCAGAAUACUACAAGCGCUAGCUUAAAAUCCAAAGGACUUGGCGGUGCUUCAGACCCACCUAGAGGAGCCUGUUCUGCAACCGAUAAUCCCCGUUAAACCCCACCACCUCUUGCCAUUACCGCCUAUAUACCGCCGUCGUCAGCUCACCCUAUGAAGGAUUAAAGAGUAAGCAAAAAGAAUUAAACUCCCACACGUCAGGUCGAGGUGUAGCGAAUGAGGUGGAAAGAAAUGGGCUACAUUUUCUACUAAGAAAACACGGACAGUAAACUGAAAAAUUACUCCAAGGUGGAUUUAGCAGUAAGAAGAAAUAAGAAUAUUCUACUGAAGCCGGCUCUGAAGCGCGCACACACCGCCCGUCACUCUCCUCGCCAUAAACAUUACCAUUAUAUAAAAAAAUUUUAUUGAAAAGAGGAGGCAAGUCGUAACAUGGUAAGUGUACUGGAAAGUGCACUUGGAAU